UCUAAAUGCAAAUUGUCAAUAUAACCCUUUCCAUGAAAUCUCAGAAGCAGCUAGGACUCCCAGGAGAUGAAGAGAGAAAAUAUGAAUGGGACCGACAUGGGAAGCCAGUGAUCAGUGAUGGAGACACCGACCACAAGGGCUCUGGUGACUCAGCUCCUUAAUAAUCACCAGGCCAAGGAGCCCGGGAGGUUGAGACCACGUGUGAUGUGGAGGAAACUUGGCAGCGCUGGGCUUGGGCGCCUGGCUCCGGGCACUGAAGGGAGGGCUGCAGAGAUCACGGGGAGAGGCCGCUCCUCUUCUCCCAAGGCCAGUCUCUGUUACUGGGGAAACGGGCCAGGGCUGCCCUUGACGUCCUUGGAAAUCACACCAGGAAUGGCCUGACCACACUGGGCAGGAGGGAAAAGAAGGAAGCCCACGGACUGGGCGGAGAGGGAGAAAGCCUGCCGCAAGGGCUGCAGGGCAGGAGGGGGCUUCUCAUUCCCCCCCAGGCUCCUAGAACAAAGGAAAGCCCGCCCCACCGCCCUCUCUCAGUCCUGUGUUCUAUUUAAAUCCUGUGCCCGGUGCAAGACUGCAUUCAGUCUGCAUGAGCCUUAGUUUCAUAAAAGCCGCCUCGCACCGAGGGGACAAUGUCCAGAACCAAAUAACUGCAGCAUGAAUGAAUCUCCUCAUAACUAUGCCGAGAUGCACACGUCUCACCGUGCUGAGCAGCAGGCACAAAACAAUGUACGCUCCACGGUUCCGUUGAUACGAGUUCUGGGACAGACAUAACUCUCGUGAUAGAAAUCAGAUCAGUGACAAGGUCUCACUAUGUUGCCCAGGCUGAUCUCGAAUUCCUGGCCUCAAGCACUCUUGCC